rnacentral:rRNA from 1 species
AUUGAACGCUGGCGGCAUGCUUUACACAUGCAAGUCGAACGGUAACAGGGUGCUUGCACCGCUGACGAGUGGCGAACGGGUGAGUAAUGCAUCGGAAUGUACCGUGUAAUGGGGGAUAGCUCGGCGAAAGCCGGAUUAAUACCGCAUACGCCCUGAGGGGGAAAGUGGGAGACCGAAAGGCCUCACGUUAUACGAGCAGCCGAUGUCUGAUUAGCUAGUUGGUGAGGUAAAGGCUCACCAAGGCGUCGAUCAGUAGCGGGUCUGAGAGGAUGAUCCGCCACACUGGGACUGAGACACGGCCCAGACUCCUACGGGAGGCAGCAGUGGGGAAUUUUGGACAAUGGGCGCAAGCCUGAUCCAGCCAUGCCGCGUGUCUGAAGAAGGCCUUCGGGUUGUAAAGGACUUUUGUCCGGGAGCAAAUCCUAGUGGUUAAUACCUACUGGGGCUGAGAGUACCGGAAGAAUAAGCACCGGCUAACUACGUG